UCAUUUAAAUGAAACAUGUACAUUUUCCGUUUAAUUUAAAAAUGACAACAACUGAGUAAAGGACCCAAGCAACGCCGAGUAAAUGCACUGGUGUUAGAUAAAUAAAAAUGAGCUCACAUCAGUAGCCUUUGUGCUAGGCACAAAGCCAAAACAAGCAAGCUGCCUUGUCACACAUGCAAGAAAUCAGACUGCCAAGUACAGUACAUUCAGUGGAGUUCUGGAAAAGAUUUUCACAGGCAAGGACCAUUUGAAAUCAACAGCUAAUAGCAAAGAGUUGCACAUUGAUAGCUAAUGUUUUCAAAUUGAUUAACACCCUGCAGGGUACGCUGCUGCAAUAGGAAUAGCCUAACAUCUUAGGGACAACAUUGACCUAAAGUACGCAACCUCCAGCUAGGUGAAUAGCUGGAGUUACAUUGCCACAGGGUUUCACUGUGGGGUGGGGUCAAUGAGAGAAACUCUCCAGUCAACUUUUUAUACUGCUUGUUCCAGUGGAGUACUGGAGUCAAUGAGAAUGAUUGGCAGUGAACUUAGUGGGUCUUUACUAGACCCACUAAAUCAAACCCCAGGGGAUCCAUCGCCACAGCACUGCUCUCCUGGUAAGCGUAGACCUGCCCUACCCUGUAUGCAGGUAAAGUUAAUGAAAUACAAUUGUCAUAGGAUAACCUGUGUUCUGAGCGAGAGAGCACUUAUCCAAAAUGGCACCAAUAAGAGAUUUUCCACUUUUGAACAAGCCAACAGGCAACCAGCUGAAGGCUUUGGAUUUUUUUUUCCAACAGUGAAUAAUGGCACCAAAGAGAUUCCAGUUGGUGGAAUACACAACUGCAAAAAUAUUCUCAGGUAUAUACAGAAUACAUUUUACACACACAAGUAGUUUGUGACAGUCCUAAAACAGGAACUUCAAACCGGUUCAGUUUUCAGUUGAUUAUACUAAUUUACAUGUUACCAUCACCUCAUUAGGAUUGUUCUUCUAAUACAGUACAAGGAAGGGAUGCCUCUUGUGAGAGAAGGCAGCAGGGUAACUGAAUCAGAACAAAAACCAACAGUGAAUGGCUGUCAAAAAUGACAAACUAAAAAUGCCCAUCGAAUGGAUACAAAGAUCUGACAUUUCCCUUUUCCUCUCCUUUUACCCAGAGUUCCAUAUUCUCUACCUUGAAUGACCAGCCCAUGUUUCCCAGGCAUGUGUAUGUAUUUGGGAAGGGAAUAUAUUUUUCAUUAACCAUGCUCUCUUUAGACUAUUGCACUGAAAGGCCAUCUGCCAGAACUCCCAGUGUGCCCCAAGUCAGACAUAGCUUCAGUAGUAACCCUUUAAUAAUUGCUUUUCAUUCUUCCUUACUAUUAUAUUGCAUUAUCUUUCCAAAAAGUUUUUUUAAAAAAAAGAGAGAUGUGUGUUGAUUAAAUGCAAGCCCUAAGACCAUGCAAAAAUGCAGUCAUAUCAACUGGGCCAGCAGAUUGCCAGCUCUGGCUUUCAAGCAUUAAAUAGGAGAGAUUCUGCAGCAGGAUAAAAGGGAAGCAAUUGCACUUUGCAUCCUCAGAGUUCAGUGUAGAUGGUAUCUCCCCACCUUAAAGGGGUCACUAAUCUGAGGUCACGGACCAGAACAAGUGAUCCCAUCUUGGAUCCAGUCCUCCACUUUCACCUACUGCCAUCAGCUACCCGUCACCUUUCCUCCACUCUCCUGGGCUGGCUACUAACAGAGAUGGUCAAGGGGGAGGAAUGUUGUGCACAUACCUUUUCCCCAAGCCCAGCCCCUGUUCCACCCUCUUCCCCCAGAGGAACCGGGUCUUGGGGACUCCGGGGGGCCUGAUGCAGGGUAACAGCAGGGGUCAGCCCCCCACACCCUCCAUUCACUGAGGCUGUAGGAGCCAUGGGGAAGCACAGCAACACAGCAGCCUCUGCUCCCAAGCCAGCCCAGUCACUCUGCUUCACUGCAGAGGCCACCCCAAACCAUCCUAGGGAUGGGCCAACUCUGCACACACUUCCCCUGGGCCAUAGGGAGGGGCCGGCAGCAGCACAGAACUUGCAGCUGGAAGUCCCUCUGCUCCUGGUAGUGUUGUGGGGCUAGUGGUGAGGGGCCCCAGGGAGGACUAAGUUGCCCAAGAGAGGCAGGCGGGACUGGGGUAUAUGGGAGGUAGCAUGUGGGGCAGCAGGUGAGGCCGGGAGAUGUGGAGGGCAAAACGUGUGGAGACAUUCCCCUUUGCCCCGGGCUCUGUCCUGCUAGCAGGAUUUGAGGACUGGCACUGGCCCUAAGGUACACUGAGUUUGAGCCCCCCGAUCUUGAGUUUCUUUGAGCUUUGCUCCCUUCGUGGAUGAUGCACAUAGCCCCUACCAUGUACAGCGGAUGGUAAAGGUCUCCACCUAAGUGGUUCUGUAGCACCAGCUUCAUUAACACUUCACAUUUCUUGUGCUGGUUGCUAUUAGCUGAAAUGGAUUGUUCUCUUUUCACCAGAAUCCCCACUCCCACUGACAGCUACAAAUGUGCCCUCAACAGUGAGAAUCGUUGACAGUGUCAGAUUUUCAGGCUGAUGUAAGUGUUGCCUGUGAAAUGCGGAGACUUACCACGUGGAAUUCUAGAACACUCCAAACCAUACUAUGGAAACCAGGCUCUCGGAGUUUACAAAGGCAGAACGCACUCAGUCGCCACGUACACCGGAAAGUGAAAGGGUUGCAAAUACCUUGUUAGCCAAAAUACUCAUGAAGUCCAUCUAGCCUUCCAGAGUAUGCCUAUGUGCACAGGAUAUUCAGGUUGUUUACUGUGGGUGGGUGUCCAAAAGCCUUCGAUAUGGACCUAACUCUGCUCCCACCAGAACCAAUGGUAAGACAUCCACUAAUUCGUGCUUUCAUUGAAGUCAAAGUCCAGGAUUAUGCACUUCUGGAAAUCCCACCAUGUCAUCUCACUGUUUCAUUCCUGGCUAAUGACUGUCCCUGUCCCGCUAGCAUGGUUACAAAGCUCAUACGGCGCUCCAGAAGAGUUCGACUGCCCGCUUCCUUAGGUCCUGCAAAAAGCAUAUUAACUGUGAUUUCAACCCAAGAAAACCUGAGUGAAAGCACUGGAAAGUUUGCACAUAGCCAAUACAGAAGCAAUAACGUGUCCACAACAGAACAGUAAAAUUUGGAACUGAGAUUUGCAAACGUUGCACUAAAAGAAAUGCGAUGCAACCUCGUUCGGAAUGAAAGCCUACUUCCCACUUGAGCAGGCAAUUUGAGCUUUGCUGGAAAAGCUUUGGAAUGUCAUUUAAUUUGCUCUUGUGAACCUGCUCCCCUUAAUCCUCACCAACUGCUUACCAGGAAUAUUACCCAAGAAUACAGAAUUCCACGUUACUAAACCCAGCUGUUCCCUCAUCUCACUCUGUCACAGGACAACAGAGUGGGGAAGAAACCUCAGCUCCUUUCAUGGGACAGUUAAAUGGAAAGUCACCCCAGUGAGCUACCAGAAAGAGGGCAUCCUGUCCAUACCUCCUUACAAUAUCAAAUAGUGUUGUGCUCGCAAUGCACUUGGAAGAAGAGAUACAGAAAGGAUUAUGAUUAGCUUAAAGUCUCAAUUUUAUAAAUACCAUCAAUCUUAAAAUAAAUGCAAUGUGCUUAGCAUUGCAGGUUCUGUCCUACAGAACUUUGCAAAUGGAGAUCCAACAAAAAUAACCUAAAUCUUUUACUGCCCCUUCCCCUCUUUUCAAAGCAAAACUGGUUUAAAACUGAAAUAGGCUAGUGAUUAUGGAGGAACGUCUGGGGGAUGUUUGUCUUUGCUUCUGACUAUUCUAAAUUGGUGUAAAAUUCUUCUCAGCAUGUGGUCAAGUAAUAAGAGCAUCCUCAUGAAAAAAUGAACCCUUAUUUUUAUCAGCUAUGGAGCUUCAGAUCAUCAUGGCAAUAAAACAGCUCCAUAUUCUUUACACCUUUAAGUAUGAAGUCUCAGAAAAUUUGUUUUACUCCAAAAUUCUGGGUAAGAAACAGAAGAACACAAUUUCCAUUAAAAGCAUUAGGCCUUUCCCAAAUAUGCAUCAUAAUUCUUCCAUAAGUAAGUUAAGCAUCCUGAAAGCAUAUUA